CUGCUGCAGCUGCUACAGCUUCUGGAGCUGCUGCAGCUGCUGCAGCUGCUGCAGCUGCUGCAGCUGCUGCAGCUGCUGGAUCUGGUGCAGCUGCUAGAUCUGCUGCAGCUGCUGCAGCUGCUGCAGCUGCUAGAGCUUCUGGAGCUGCUGGAUCUGCUGCAGCUGCUGCAGCUGCUGCAACUGCUGCAGCUGCUGCAGCAGCUGCAGCUGCUGCAGCUGCUGCCGCUGCUGCAGCUGCAUGCAUUC
rnacentral:sRNA from 1 species